ACACACAGACGUUAGUUUUGGCGGGAACCUAUCAAUUUAAAGGUCUUUGUCCUAAGAGGGUUUAAAAUGACCAAUCAUAGUUAGACACCUGAGAUGCCAUAGGGCAGUGAGUACUUGACUUUUUACAUGUUGGUCUUGCCUAGGCCAGAUCUUGGUAGAGGGGGUGGGGGAGCGUUUUGCAUCCUAAGUUAUCUAUUCAGCAAGCAGAAGCGAGAUAGGGCGGUUAGUAAUUUCCAAUAACCCUAAUAGGGAACUACAUAAACCUUUUAUCUCAACUAUUCAUGCAAGAGAAUGCCUCAGAUAAGCAAAGUUCCGGCACGGCACCCCACCCCCACCCCGUCUCUUGUUAGACUUGCCGGUAGGCUAAGACCAGUCCCCAAUAUCGUCUACUGUGACCAGGUUGCAGGUCAACUGAUGGAAAACAGGGCAAGAACUGCUUUCACCCUUUGUGUGUGUGUGUGUGUGUGUGUGUAUGUGCGUGUGUGUGUGAGUGUGAGUGUGUCUCCUAAAAGGGGACUCUGAGAGGAUGUUUCUUAGACUGUUCAAGGGGGAAAUAAGCCUAGAAUAGCUAAAUUAGAGACCAGGUACCCAGUGUGUGCCUAGUAGUGUUCUGCUUGAGUUGCUUCGAUUCCGAGGUUCACAUACAGUCAACAGUAAGGUUUCAAACCCUGCCUUUCUGACGUGCUGGGAAUCUCAAAAAGGGAGGAAAGAAAGCAGCUCACGUGCACAAAAGCACUGGAUUCCUCUGUUUUAACUCGUGGAUUGUCUCCGUUUACGCACACCAAUGGAAGUAAACACAUGUAUUUGUUGUCUCGGUAAACCGUUUUAUAUGCCGAUGAAAAGGUUGUGGAGUAUAUUGAACGGUCUGUGCCUCUAUUGUUGGGGUUCUGCUCCUGAAACGAGUCUAGUUUCCUGUGCUCAUCCACUCCUAAUUAGGCACCCCUCAUCGCCUGGCGGUAUCUGUGGAAUUGCCUGCGAAAACACGGCACUAAGAGAGCAUGAACUAGUAGUCAGUGAAGGACUUUUCACGCAACUUCAGCUUUUUUAAAUACAGGAAAUGUCACAGGAGGGGGAGAAAAACAAGACAAAGCAGGAGCCCCAUUCUCCCCCACCCCCCCUCCCCGGAGGCUGCAGUGAAGAGGAAACACUGAGUUUUUUCCAGGAGAGUAAGACGACCUCGAAGGCAGGGAGGGAGGACGGCAACACGUUCCGUCUACUGAUUUCCCAUCGCUUCCUAAAAUUUCAUCCCUCGGCCCAGCAAGCCCGGUGUCCUCACGGUUUUCUGCCACAUCGUCUACUCCACAAACACCUGUUGAGGACCUACCUAUUAGGUAUUCUAAUACAUUCCAGGGACACAUUAAUGGUAUUGAUGUUAUCUUACACUAUUAUAAUGAU